CGCUUGUGGAGACGUCGCUGCCGUGAUCGU
rnacentral:snRNA from 1 species